CGGCACGGGUGAGUAACACGUAUCCAACCUGCCGUCUACUCUUGGACAGCCUUCUGAAAGGAAGAUUAAUACAAAAUGGCAUCAUGAGUCCGCAUGUUCACAUGAUUAAAGGUAUUCCGGUAGACGAUGGGGAUGCGUUCCAUUAGAUAGUAGGCGGGGUAACGGCCCACCUAGUCUUCGAUGGAUAGGGGUUCUGAGAGGAAGGUCCCCCACAUUGGAACUGAGACACGGUCCAA
rnacentral:rRNA from 1 species